rnacentral:rRNA from 1 species
GAUGAACGCUAGCGGCAGGCUUAAUACAUGCAAGUCGAGGGGCAGCACGGUUAGCAAUAACUGGUGGCGACCGGCGCACGGGUGCGUAACACGUAUACAAUCUACCUUAAACAGGGGGAUAGCCUUUCGAAAGAGAGAUUAAUACCCCGUAAUAAAUUGAACGGCAUCGUUUGAUUUUGAAAGCUCCGGCGGUUUGAGAUGAGUAUGCGUCUGAUUAGCUAGUUGGUGAGGUAACGGCUCACCAAGGCGACGAUCAGUAGGGGAUCUGAGAGGACUAACCCCCACACUGGUACUGAGACACGGACCAGACUCCUACGGGAGGCAGCAGUAAGGAAUAUUGGUCAAUGGAGGCAACUCUGAACCAGCCAUGCCGCGUGCAGGAUGACGGCCCUAUGGGUUGUAAACUGCUUUUGCCAGGGGAUAAAAUGACCUUGCGAGGUUAAUUGAAGGUACCUGGUGAAUAAGCCACGGCUAACUACGUGCCAGCAGCCGCGGUAAU